AACUUGUUAGACUGCAUGGGCCACGUAUGGUUGAGUGUCGUAA
rnacentral:rRNA from 1 species